rnacentral:lncRNA from 1 species
CUCCUGUCUGCUGCAGCCUCACACACCAGACAGUUCUCAAGAUGUCCUUCGGGGGAGCCUCCAGGAAGGGUUGGAGACUCUCAUCUCUACUUCUACCCAUUCUUGGUCCUCAGAAAUCCUUCUACUGCUUCCAUACUGCCUCAGGGCACAAAGAAUUGCUGAGCAGCCAUCGGAGGUGAUACGUCUCUAGAGAUAUAAACAGCUCCCUCUCAUUAGGAUCUGGUCACUUCCCUGCUUCUUUUCUGGAACUCCACUUGGAACGAAGAAGAGGCACUAGGUGCAUGCCUACACAGAGGAAAGCCAUGUGAGGACACAGCGAUAAGAUUGCUGACUGCAAGCUCAGGAGAACUUAGAAGAAACCAACCCUACCAGCACCUUGAUCUUGGACUUCCAGCCUCCAGAACUGUGAGAAAGUAAAUUUCUGUUGUUUAAAUCACCCAGUCUAUGGUAGUUUGUUAUGAUGACCCAAGCAGAAUAAUGCAUACCAUGAUUCUCUUCCAUUCUCUCAACUCAGGACAUCCUUUCCCAGUGUUGGGGUGGUGGAGGGGAAUGACAUAGAUGUUCGUGGAUGGAGAGAAGGCCUUCCUGUUGUUAAGACUUUUUUCUUAGCUCCAUCAUCCAUGUGACAUGCCCUUGCAUUCUUUUUAGUGUCUGGGCCAGUCUGCCAUGGCUUUUCAGAAAGCAGGGCCCAAGCACACCUUUGGAUUCAACCUGAGUGGGUUCUAACCAAGAAUACCAGUGAACACACCCCAUGGAAGGGGCCUCAUCAGUAGAGGUUGUAUUCCGAAUACUUGUGAACAUUUUUUGGUCUGAGAUGAACACAGCAUUCCCUCUUUGGAGCACUGUGGGCAUUAUAUUUGCAAAAGGGAAUAAUGUUAGGCUCCUUCAGAAAAACAAAGUGGUGCACCAGCAUCUCAGCUGUGGAAAGAGCUCAGACCUUGGUAACGUUUCAAAGUACCAUGGAUGUGAGGGACAGUCAGUGACCACAGAAGGAACUUGGCCAAGGAAAAAGAGACACGUAGUGUCAGGCAAAGCUCAGAAAAUUUCAGAGAAUUAGACUGGGAGGCAGACCAUCUCAGCCUGGAGCUAGCUUACUUUUGUACUUCUUGCAUGAGACAGUCCACAUUCUUACUGUUUAAGCUGCUCAAAAGGGUGUUUCUGUAACUACUUGCAGUGGAAAGAAAUGUGUCCAGAAUCUCUCAAAACCCUGAAUACCACAGUGCAUUGGCAGGGCAGGCUUUAUAUGGCCACAAACAACAAUAACACUGGAAUAUUCUAUUCACUCAUUCCCUCAGGUCAUGGUUUCCUACUUGAAAGCACCAUGGAUAAGUCCCUUUCUGCUGUUUCUCCCCAAAACAAGGAUAUGCAUCAUGAUUUCUUGAAGAUUCCACCAUUAGUCAUAGACGGGCCUGAAAAAUUGUACAAAUUAGAAGGUAGUAAGGCACCUUCACUGGACCUCUGCUAUAUCUCUAAGUAUAUAUUGGGAUGGGGAAGGGUGAGUGAAUAAUUACAAUAAUAAUUAAUAAGAACAAGUUCUUUUCAGUCCGAGUUGCAUUUAAGAAAAGCUAUGAAUUCUUCCCUGAUCAGUCCAGAAAUGCAUCUCUGGAGCUAUGGCUAUUGAGUGAUCUUUGUUGUAACAUAGUUUUCCUUAAGUCAGAUUCACUGGGAAGAGGACUGCCUUUAAGUCCAAUCCAAGGGAUAAACAGUUCAUCAAAUAUAACAGUUUAUUUGUCUACAUGCUUCCUUCCCUUCUAGUCAGUUUAGCUUCUCCAGGGCAAGAGAUUCAGCCCCUGCCUCCCUGUCUCUAGCACAUGAAUUCAUUCAAGAAAUGUUUCCCCACUACCAGGCUCCAGGAUGCUUCUGUUGCAUGGGAAAUCAGAGACACAUAGUGCCUGCUCUUCCCAAGCAUUCAGACUAGUGAGAAAGGGAAUGGCAAGGAACCUGAGGAACCAGCGUGAGGAAAACCUGGAUGAUCUGACGUCUUCCUCACUUUAUCCCUACCUGUCCACGCCUCCAUCCAUCCACCCAUCCAUCACUGAUCAAGCUCUCACUAUGUCUAUAGUGUAGAAGGUGCCACCAAAUGCAAUGGAACCUCUUGUCUCAUGUGUCUACUUGCAUCUUUAAGUUGAUACACGGAAGGCACAGUCCAAGCACAGGAUACUGGAAGCUAUGGAGGUACAGUGGCCUCUGAGCAAACUGAAAACUCUCUAUCACUAAAGGGUUGGGCAUACAGGGUAUCUCCUCUGCUCUGCCACCUACCUUGAGGAUGCUUUACAUGUGGCUAAAAGUGGAGGCAGAGAUAUUUGGAUAAAUAAAUGCUAGAGAAUUGGAAAUUCCUAGGACAAGUCAAUUUGGAUAUGUCUAUGUCAUCCUUUUUUUUCUAAGAGACACGUAACUCUGAUCCUUAAGGAGUUAGAGAGUUCCCAUAGCUUAGGGUCUGGAAGCCAUAUUCCUUUUUAUGUAACAUCCUUGAAUAUGCUACUCGUAUACCCUAAAUUUACUCUGUAAUUUUUUUUUUUUUAUUUGAGAGGGAGUCUCACUCUGCUGCC